rnacentral:rRNA from 1 species
CACGUAGGGACCGAGCGUUGUCCGGAUUAUUGGGCGUAAAGAGCUCGUAGGCGGCUCGGUAAGUCGGAUGUGAAACCUCCAGGCUCAACCUGGAGACGCCAUCUGAUACUGCCGUGGCUUGAGUCCGGUAGAGGAGCAGGGAAUUCCUGGUGUAGCGGUGAAAUGCGCAGAUAUCAGGAGGAACACCAGCGGCGAAGGCGCUGCUCUGGGCCGGUACUGACGCUGAGGAGCGAAAGCGUGGGGAGCGAACAGG